UUUACGUGUCUCAGGGGCUGAUGGAUUUUCUGAACCUAUUUAUAAGGGUGACAAAAGGAGACACUGGACCUCUCCAUUACAGCUGUUCUCAGGACAGCUACCCUAUCUGACCUCCAAAAGGAGAAAGCAUUUUUGGACAAAGCAGGCCAUAAAGUAGGGACAACCCACAAAUUCAAUGCUGAUCUCACUGAUUCCAGAUCCAGCACUUUAAGAGAAUGUUUAAUUCAGAAGAGCCUCACUUCCUUAGAAAAAGACAGCUGGUAA
rnacentral:lncRNA from 1 species